UCUCCGUUGGUGAACCAGCGGAGGGAUCAUUACCGAGUUUACAACUCCCAAACCCCUAUGUGAACGUUACCAAACUGUUGCCUCGGCGGGAAAUUCAUGCCCCGGGCGCGUCGCAGCCCCGGACCAAGGCGCCCGCCGGAGGACCAACCAAAACUCUUUUGUAUGUCCCUCGCGGACUUUUAUAAUUCUGAACCAUCUCGGCGCCCCUAGCAGGCGUUUCGAAAAUGAAUCAAAACUUUCAACAACGGAUCUCUUGGUUCUG
rnacentral:misc_RNA from 1 species